UCCGGUUUAACACCGGCAGUCUCGUUAGAGUGCUCAGCCGAACUGUUAGCAACUAACGACAAGGGUUGCGCUCGUUGCGGGACUUAACCCAACAUCUCACGACACGAGCUGACGACAGCCAUGCAGCACCUGGACAUCCAGUUCUCUUGCGAGCACAUCCACAUCUCUGCGGACUUCUGGAGGGUUCCAACCCAGGUAAGGUUUUGCGCGUUGCGUCGAAUUGAACCACAUGCUCCACCGCUUGUGCGGGCCCCCGUCAAUUCCUUUGAGUUUCAGCCUUGCGGCCGUACUCCCCAGGCGGGGCACUUAAUGCGUUAGCGACGACACUCAGGGGGUCGCUCCCCCAAGCAUCUAGUGCCCAUCGUUUACGGCGUGGACUAC
rnacentral:misc_RNA from 1 species